CGCGUCCUCAACUCGGGUUUUCUCGUGAUUCCGCGUCUCCCAGCGCGGGUGUCUUACCGUUCUCAGGUGAAUACCCAGGAGUGGAAUUGCUCAGUCAUAUGCAUUAGCAGCCAUCUUGUGACCAUGAAGACAGACAUCAGUAACAUGCUGAGGCUGGAAGAGUGGAAAGGUCGAAAGAAGGUGGACGGACAUGACAUAAUUGAAUCACU